UAAAUUUAAUAAUUAAAUUUCUAAAAAGAAAAAAAAAAUUAAGAACUUCAUAAAGAUUUUUUUACAAAACUAAUUUCAUUAGUAGGGAUUCUAAAAUUUAUAAAAUACACAAAAGAUUAUAAAAUUAAUUUUAAGAGCCCAGACUUUAAGCAAUGGAGAUGGUUUUUAGCACCAAGAAAUCCGAGCUUCAGGCUUCAGCCAUCUAAAACCAUGAACCGAAUCGAACCGAUCUUGAAAAAAAUCGAAUCCGAUUUUGGUUAAACCAAGUAGACAAUGAACGCCGAAGCUUACAUUUAACCCAAAACCCCUUUUCGCUGUUUAAAAUCUGUGAAAAUGUUCUUUAUCUCUGGAGACGAAGAGAGGUAAUAAGCAAAGCUCUCGCAAUGACCGAAACUCCACGCCAUCGAGUAGCUGCGUCGGAGAUUUUCCUCCAUUAUCUGACUGUUCUCGCAAGGACUGGUGUGUAUAGUUUACCUAUAGGCAGAAAAAAGCUCAUCUUAAUGGGAUUACAAGCACAAGAAGCUCUGGCAUCAUGCCACUGAUGGUGAUUAUUCAGAUAUCAAGCAAGAAUAUAUAGCAAGUCAAAGGGCAAUUUGGCCUCUAGAUUUGAUAGGGUGGAUGAUGAUCAACAGGGUAAAGUGCAACGACUCAGAGUUGGUGGUAGGCCCCCUGGGUCAGGUGAUGGAACAGCCACAGUCUGCUACUGUCAUGGACUGAGAAAGCUGGAAUGUGGGGGAAAGCAGUCGUGCUUGGUGGAGUUGAACCUCCAGAGCAAAGUUUGUCACACAAUGAUGAGACUUGGAUAAAACAGCUACAAGGAAGACUUCGGAUUUACAGAAAACUUGGGUCAAACAGCCCGUGACCAAGUGUCAGAAGCUUUACUGCUUGCUUGGUCAGCUCUUUGAGGAUGGAUUUUCUGGUAUCUGCGAAAGUUGAUGGAUCCUUGGAGAAGCUUUAGUCAAUCUGGUGCAUUUCAGCAAAAGUAAAUCUAUAGAGUGACACAUUAGCUAAGCAUUGGACAACAAGAAGUAGAGGUGCUGACAUAGUGGCUAGGACUGUCAUAUCUGCACAAUUGGUCGAGACUUUUUUUGCUCUAUCCAAAUGCCAUGAGGAGUUGUGUUGUAAUUUGUAAACAGAGUACUCACCUGGAUCUCACUGUUUUCUUCUUCUUCUUUCUUUUUUUUUUUUGUCUGUUUCCCACUUGUUUGUAAGUUCAAGAUUUAACAUGUUAUUUUCUUACCCAAACCGACUCUCUUUGGACGAAUCAUCUCGUACUCUUGAAAUUCUCUCACAAAUAGAAAACAAACAAAGAGGGUUAGGCAUGCUCAUGCGCUGAAUUGGUAAUGUGACUGGUGAAGUAAUUUCACUAAAAUAUUAACUACACAAUUAUUUUAUUGCUAACAUGUCACUAAUAAAGUUACAACAUUUCACUAAUUACUUUUAAGGAUCAAAUUAGUAAUUUCCUCUCAUAAUAGUUGUGAGUUGUGACAACCAAAAUUUUAUUUGCAGUGUAAACGUAAAAGUUGGAUAAAUCCCAUGAUCAUAGCUUAAAGGAGAGAUAUUUUCAAUUGUAAUGUUGUAAAGCGAGACACAUCAUCACCACGACCACAGAAACAUGAAACUCAUAUGAAUGGCUCCCAAUAAUUCGAUUGUCUUAAUUGUAAAAGGGGCCUCCCUCUUUAAUAUGUAAUGCAUUAAAUACUUUCGCCUACUUCUUCUUCCUUCUCCUUGCACACCAAGCCACAAUACACAUUACACUCCAACCGUUUUAGUUUUGGCCCUACAUAGAAAAUCAAUGCAUCAGCAUGUACCAUCAUUGGUCGAUGCUAGUACAGCCACGGGGACUUUAUAUGUGUAUAAAUACGAUUCCUUGGCCACCUUACUAUAACCAAUUCUCCAAGCUUCCCUUUGAGCUUGAGCUUCUUCUUCUUCUCCCUUCCUCUUGAUUUUGAUCUCAAAACCUCCUUUUUGUAAACACUUACAAGUUACAACCAACCAGACACAAUGGGAAUGAAAUGCCUAUUACCCCCGGCUCUCACUCAAAUGUUUGGCUACCCUUCAAACCAAAUCAAUCAAACCAGCAACUUCGUAAACACCCACAACAAAAUAAAGGUGAUGGAGAGAGAGGAAUUUCCAGGUGGGUUUCAAGUUCCUCUUCACUACCCUAAAUACUCCAAGUCUGAUUAUGAAGCCAUGGAUGAUCUUAGCCUUGACUUGCUCCUCAAACAAUAUGGAAUCUCCUUCGAAGGAUCUCUUGAAGACAAGAGGGUCUUUGCAAUGGAGUCAUUUCUCUGGCCAGAUCAGCUUUAGAGUUUAUUUAUGUUUGGUGUUUGUAUAUUCAAGUCACAUCUCCACCAACGUCCGAUCCUAUCAUGAGCCUAAGAUUAAAUAUUUUAGAAUUAUGAUAAAUCAUGACAUAUAUCAAUCACUUUGUAAUCAAGUUUGUGUAUUAUAUGUUUAUAUUUGGGGGCUUUAUAUAUACAUGUAUGAAAAACUUUUGAAGCAUGUUAUUUACACCUAUGUAUCACCAUGAUGAGUGCAUUAACUAAUAACAUCUUUCUUGUUUUUAAGCCCUUUCUCAAGAAAAAGAAAAAAACAUGAAACUAAUACAUCUUUCAUGUAUUAUACAUUCUAAAGAUGUAUGAAAAACUUUUGAAGCAUGUUAGUUACACCUAUGUAUCACCAUGAUGAGUGCAUUAACUAAUAACAUCUUUCUUGUUUUUAAGCCCUUUCUCAAAAAAAAAACAUGAAACUAAUACAUCUUUCAUGUAUUAUACAUUCUAAAGAUGUGAUCUAUCGACUUAUGAUAAUCUAGUUAUCUAUUUUCUUAAUCGGUCUAAACGCGGAUUAAUUUAUGGACUACAACACAUGAAUACUGCACUCGACAAAUGCUUACUAUUAAUAAUUGUUUUGGUCAAGGAUAAAUCGAUCUGACUGAAACUAGAUUUAUUAAAAUAUGUUAGGCAUUACAUCAUUGAUUCAUUAUAGACGUGGUUUAAGCGCAAUAGUAAAGCUAAACUGCUUAAACACGGUAUGCCAAUAUAAUCAUUUACGAAUAAUAAAAAUAAAAAUAAAAAUAAAAAUUUAAGUUGAUAAAUAUAAAAUAUUUAUCAACUACAGAUAAUAUUAUUUUGGUGUAAAAUCUCUCGUAUUAAAACAUCUAAUUAUAUAAAGUAGACCUCGACUCUCUUCUCCUCUUGCCACGUCACUAAAUAGUGAAAGGAGGAGAUGACACGUGUUGUUUCCUUGGCCGAGAUUUCUUGCGUUUAGUUUCAUUUUAAAUGGGUUUCUCUUAUUGGGCUUUUAUGUCGUUAUUAAGUUUUGUUAAUGUUAAAAUCAAAUCUGAUAGAGAGACUGAUAUCUUCUUCGUCAAAGUCGAUAUCAAAGAUUAGGGUUCAUCUUCUGCAUCGAUCUCUGCGGAUCUACACCAACAAUAGAGUUUCGGGAUGUUGAGUGAGACGAAUCGUCAUGUAUAAUCUCUGUGUAAAGCUUCGAUUGCGUCGUUUCGUCUUCGGUUCUAAUUCUACGAAACGUUAUGAAGUAUUGAUUCAUAAACUUUAACAAACAUCUUAACUCCAUCGAACGACUUCAAUCACGAUUUCACAUUCAAUGUUACUUCUCCCCCUAUAAAAAGUCGGCCUAUGGUCUUCCACCGUAGAGGUGCGACUGCUCAGAUUUUUGGAAGCAAGGAGCUUCAAAAGCGGUGGCGAGCAGAUAGGCGUGGUUAUAUUUCUCAUGGAUUCUAAGAUAUGGUUGCUUCUGUCGGGCCGGUGAUGGAUGUUCCUCCUCGCCAUCUCAUGGAUUGGGGAGUAGUUUGAUAUAAUAUCGAUGAGUGACAUGGGUGAAGGAGUUCCCGAGAUCGGAAUGGAUUACAAAACUGCCUCAGGUGUUAGCAGUUCUCUUGAUCAUCAUUGAAAAAGGCAAGAUUGUUAAUAUUCCCUUAGGAGAUGGAUCUAUGAGACGUGGUCAGGCCCUGGCGGUUAAUGGGGAGAAAGCAAUGGCCAGGUAGAAGAGUUCCCAAAGGUUAACAUAACGAAAACUACAUGUUUGAUUGUUCUCAAUCAUUCACCAUGGUACAACAACUACGAUUACUCUUAAUGGAAGGUGAAACCAUGAGAAUCAUGUAUGAGCUGUGGUUUGCCAAUCACAAAGUAGAUGUUUUUUUUCUAAAGUCAUGUCCACACAUACGAGAGAAUGACUGAGCCUCAGCUUAAGUACUCUGCCACAGAGAAGCAAGCUUUGGACACACUAUAAUCUCGAUAAAUAAAUGGACCCAUGCGCAGUAUGGAUAACACAGGAACAAGUUACGUUGUCGAGGCUGACCCCAUGUGGUUUUACCUCAGGUUAUGGCUUCCUGAUGUUGAUUCUCUUUCUUUUUUCUUGAAAACCUUAGAAUAACAAAAUAACAAAGUAUCAAAAUACAAGGUUAAGGUGAAUAUGUUUGUAUGCAUUAUUAUGGUUGAAUAACGAUGAAUAAGCGCAACGUGGAUUAGUAUUUCUGUU